UACGGGGGAUGCGAGCGUUGUCCGGAUUCACUGGGCGUAAAGGGCUCGUAGGCGGCCAACUAAGUCAGACGUGAAAUCCCUCGGCUUAACCGGGGAACUGCGUCUGAUACUGGAUGGCUUGAGUUUGGGAGAGGGAUGCGGAAUUCCAGGUGUAGCGGUGAAAUGCGUAGAUAUCUGGAGGAACACCGGUGGCGAAGGCGGCAUCCUGGACCAACACUGACGCUGAGUGAGCGAAAGCCAGGGGAGCAAACGGG
rnacentral:rRNA from 1 species